AAGUAUAAAACAUAUUACAUGUGUCCAUUAACAGUAAAUGGACACAUGUAAUUUACUUUAACCGCUAUAGUCUCCCCAAAUCCUUUAGGAAACACUGAGUACAAAGCACAUUUUGAAUAUUUAAUUUAUGCAAUGGUAAAAAAAGGCAAAAUGUAAAAAAAAACGUGUUCGGUAUUCGGGAAAGUCUUUCAUUAAAUUCUGUUUCGGACAAGAAUUAGGGUCAAACUCCACAAGGUGGCUUUAAUCUAAUGCACUAACUCAACAUUUCAUUUCCUCCAGCAAUGUUUUCCAGACUGCGUGUGUGAAGACGCCUACAACAACACCUACGCCUGCGUCAGGACCCUGGACGGUGAACAGAACCUGCAGUACUGCGAGUUUGCAGACAGCGAGUCAUUUGUAGAAGUGUACAACCUGACGUCGGACCCCCACCAGCUGGAGAACAUCGUGAAGACGGUGGAUCCGGCCGUCCUGCAGGCGAUGAACCAGCGGCUCAUAAAGCUCCAGUCCUGUGCGGGCGACAGCUGCCGUGACAUCAAGUGAAGAAGAGGCUCCACGAAGCUGCCACACAUGGACCUCUUCAUACUCACAUUGGAAGGUGGGGCUGGUUAUAUAACAGAAAGGCAACUUUUACCACAAGUAUGAUAGUUGGAGAGGCCUUUUCUAAACAAACAAUGUUUCCUACUGUGAAGUUUUGACAUGUCACAGUCGAAAAAGCACAGGGUGAAUAAUGAAUGAUGGCUGAGUUAUAUUUAGCUGCUCCAGUUUCAGGGGCCCGGUUUUGUGCAUGCUGGCUGCCUGGGACGCUCAAAUACAACAGAGGCUUUGUUAAAAGGAGAAGUUCCACAUUUUGGGAAAUACGCUAAUUCGCUUUACUGCUGAGUGUUGAUUCCUCUCAUGUCUGCUGAUUAGCCUAAAUUGGCACAAAUGAUUCUGUUAAUUCUUAAUUAAUAACACUGCAAUUAGCCCUUGAAGUGCUUAUUUAAGCUUAAGGGUAAAUAAAUUAUUCCCUUUCAAGCUAGAUGAGAAGAUCGUUACCACUCUCGUCUGUCUAUUAAAUAUGAAGCUGCAGCCAGCAGCUGGUUAGUUUAGCUUAGCUUAGCACAAGGACUGAAAGCGGGGGGAAACAGCUAGCCUGGCUCUUUGUUGCAGUAACAAAAUGUGACUACCAGCAGCUCAGUAAUUAACACGCGACAUCUUGUUGUUUUAAUCUGUACAAAAGCCAAAGUUUGUAAGUGACACAUUGCCGUAUUUUGGGGGGAAAAAGCAUUUUUACACUUUUGUACUUCUACACGUUUUCGUAUGGACCCUCAACCAGAAAUCAAAUUUCCCAAAAUGUCAAACUUUUACUUUAAUAUCACCUGUGGUCUUCCUACUAUGACAAGUCAAAAUGUCUGCUGUGAAAAAUAUAAAUUUUCUUCUGAGCUGUGCUCAAAUAUCUCAUACUUUAUUUUCUUUUAAGAUAAACAGUUCGUAUUGUGCAGAUUGGAGUUACUCUACCACUCUGUCACGUGUCUCUGCAUAAAAACUGCACUAUAGACUUCUGUUCUUCACAAUGUUGAAGGUAAAAAAUGCCAUCUGAACAAUUUACCAGUCACAGAAACACAAAAUGUUGCCAGUAUGUGUCAGAUGUGGAGAAUAAUAGUUACACAACCAAAGGUUUAUCAUCUCUAAAGGAAUAGUUUGACAUUUUAGUAAAUAUGCUUCUUUGCUUUUAGAUGAUAAGACUGUUACCAAUCUCAUGUCUGUCGCUUCCAUUAAAAAAGCCAUCACCAGCAGUCUGUUAGCUUAGCUUAGCACGAAAUAAUAGUUGGAAAAGGGGGGGAAACAGCUGGCCUGGUGCUGUUCAAAGUAAACAAAAUCCACUCUGUCAGCUCUCCUAGCAAAAUGUUUUUGUUUUGCUGGAGUCAGUGGGCUUGAAUUUUUUUCAGCAUUUUAAAGGGGUGCGUGACAGAAAACCAGCUGCUGGCUCUUUUUACAUAUUUAACAUGAUUAGUAUCAAUCUUCUCAUCUUACACUCAGAAAAAUUUCCCAAAAUGUCAAACGGUUGCUUUAAGGUGAACCUAUAUAGCAUACGGCUCUGUUCUUUUUAAUAUUUUUGAAUUCAAGCUCACACUUUUAUCUCAAAUGAAAUGAAAGUUAAGAUAAAAAGUUAAAGUAUUGCUCCAACUCUGUGCCUGGACUGGCUUUUUUUAAAUUCUAAUCCUGACGUUUGGUAAUUACAAGAUUUGAAACUGUGUAUUAAUGAUGACAUUUGUGAAGAUGGAAGAAGGGCUGUGUUCUUUUAAGAUGUGUUGGUGUUUUCUAAUUGUGAGGGAAAUUUUUACAUGGCAACAUUUGAAAUGAACGCUUUAAUCCUGUAUGCCUUGUAUUUGCACUGACGAGGCUCGUGUGCCUUUAAACGUGAAUGUAUUUGCACUGUGAGGAAAUUAAUAAAAAUUUAAAAAAAGUCAAACGAA